GUUUGAUCCUGGCUCAGAUUGAACGCUGGCGGCAUGCCUUACACAUGCAAGUCGAACGGUAACAGGUCUUCGGAUGCUGACGAGUGGCGAACGGGUGAGUAAUACAUCGGAACGUGCCCGAUCGUGGGGGAUAACGCAGCGAAAGCUGUGCUAAUACCGCAUACGAUCUACGGAUGAAAAGCGGGGGAUCGCAAGACCUCGCGCGGACGGAGCGGCCGAUGGCAGAUUAGGUAGUUGGUGGGAUAAAAGCUUACCAAGCCGACGAUCUGUAGCUGGUCUGAGAGGACGACCAGCCACACUGGGACUGAGACACGGCCCAGACUCCUACGGGAGGCAGCAGUGGGGAAUUUUGGACAAUGGGCGCAAGCCUGAUCCAGCCAUGCCGCGUGCAGGAUGAAGGCCUCGGUUGUAACUGCUUUGUACGGACGAAAAGACGUACUCUCUAAUACAGGGGUGAAGUGACGGUACCGUAAGAAUAAG
rnacentral:rRNA from 1 species